UACGUAGGGAGCAAGCGUUGUCCGGAAUCAUUGGGCGUAAAGCGCGCGUAGGCGGCCUCGUAAGUCCGUUGUGAAAGUCAAAGGCUCAACCUUUGAAAGCCGAUGGAUACUGUGAGGCUAGAGUCCGGAAGAGGCGAGUGGAAUUCCUGGUGGUAGCGGUGGAAUGCGCAGAUAUCAAGGAGGAACACCAAUAGCGAAGGCAGGCUCGCUGGGACGGUACUGACGCUAAGGCGGCGAAAGCGUGGGGAGCGAACAGG
rnacentral:rRNA from 1 species